rnacentral:rRNA from 1 species
GACGUAGGGUGCGAGCGUUGUCCGGAUUUAUUGGGCGUAAAGAGCUCGUAGGCGGCUUGUCGCGUCGACCGUGAAAACUUGGGGCUCAACCCCAAGCCUGCGGUCGAUACGGGCAGGCUAGAGUUCGGUAGGGGAGACUGGAAUUCCUGGUGUAACGGUGAAAUGCGCAGAUAUCAGGAGGAACACCGGUGGCGAAGGCGGGUCUCUGGGCCGUAACUGACGCUGAGGAGCGAAAGCAUGGGGAGCGAACAGG